rnacentral:rRNA from 1 species
AGAGCGAACGCUGGCGGCAGGCUUAACACAUGCAAGUCGAGCGGGCGUAGCAAUACGUCAGCGGCAGACGGGUGAGUAACGCGUGGGAACGUACCUUUUGGUUCGGAACAACACAGGGAAACUUGUGCUAAUACCGGAUAAGCCCUUACGGGGAAAGAUUUAUCGCCGAAAGAUCGGCCCGCGUCUGAUUAGCUAGUUGGUGAGGUAACGGCUCACCAAGGCGACGAUCAGUAGCUGGUCUGAGAGGAUGAUCAGCCACAUUGGGACUGAGACACGGCCCAAACUCCUACGGGAGGCAGCAGUGGGGAAUAUUGGACAAUGGGCGCAAGCCUGAUCCAGCCAUGCCGCGUGAGUGAUGAAGGCCCUAGGGUUGUAAAGCUCUUUUGUGCGGGAAGAUAAUGACGGUACCGCAAGAAUAACGCCCGGCUAACUUCGUGCCAGCAGCCGC